AGAUGUUCUGGGCCGCACGC
rnacentral:siRNA from 1 species